rnacentral:rRNA from 1 species
UACGAAGGGGGCUAGCGUUGUUCGGAAUCACUGGGCGUAAAGGGCGCGUAGGCGGCCGAUCAAGUCGGGGGUGAAAGCCCGUGGCUCAACCACAGAAUUGCCUUCGAUACUGUUUGGCUUGAGACCGGAAGAGGUAAGUGGAACUGCGAGUGUAGAGGUGAAAUUCGUAGAUAUUCGCAAGAACACCAGUGGCGAAGGCGGCUUACUGGUCCGGUUCUGACGCUGAGGCGCGAAAGCGUGGGGAGCAAACAGG